UCGACUGAACUACCACGAACGCUGCAAUGACGGACGUUGCUCUGUAAAUUAUGUAAAAUAAAUAUAGAUAUAUGACGCUACAUACCUGUGAAUACGUUGCUGCCACAUUCACCGGAAGAAGGGUGUUCUGAAAAUCUUUCGGAAAGGAAAAGCAAUAUGUUUUUAACAGAUGAUGUGUCCAAGAGGAUUUGUAGGAUUUAACGACGUUGUUCAAACACGAGAACCAAACGCUCGGAUAAGAAAAGGAGUAAUAACCAGCCAAAUCGCAUUUAUAUCCAACGAGAUGUGUACGAACUGUUGAAUCUUUGACAUAAAUUGGAUCUAGCGCUGAAUACCUUCCGGCCAGCUGCUGUAGUUGAAAUAACGAAAGAGGUAUGCAUCACACCGGAUACACCUGAAAAUCCCCCUCAUUCACUGAAGGUCACUUACUUGUGAAUCAGUUACCUCUGAAUGAGCCAGAAGAAACUGUAGGUAGGAAAUGGAGAUAAGGAACAUACAUGGUAAGAACUGAAUCAAACUGUUAGGAUAUACCAAGAGAACAAGCAGCCUCAGAUACUCCUUCAAACUCAAGGGAACUUGGAAGGUAAGACCAUAAGAUACUACAAAAUUGUUGUAACUGGCAACACUGGACAGACGGCUGAGAAACUUCAUAACAGGUUGAGAGGGUGAUCACAGAGAGAAAGAGACGGGGACUGACAUAGAGCCAGAGCACAGGAGGGGUGGGCGGAGAAGGAGUGGAAAAGGUCAAUUGCCAUGGCAACAGACCCAGGAGAGCCCACUGCCACAGAGGAGUCCUCUGGGGAGAAACCUGAUGGAGAGGAGGAAAGUGACAAGGGGAUCGGGGCCACCCACGGGAGAGAGAGGAUGCACAGCACUCCGUCUGACUUUGCCUCCUCCCAGACCCAGGAAAGGGGAGCAGGAGGAGAAGUGGAGAACAAUAAAGAAAUGGAGAUGUCCGUUAGACCUCUAACCUUCUUCAUGCCUUCCUUCCCGGCAACCCACGAGCCUUGCCAGAGACGCAAGAACCAGCGCUUCUUUAGAAAGAGUGUGGAAAUAUGCGAGGAAGAUGAUGAGGUGGAAGAAACCCUUGAUGCUCCUCACAGCGCUCCUCACCUAGAGUUUUGUGCCUCAGACUCCGUUUUCAGCAGCGUAGCCCAGCAGCUACCCGCCAGUGCCUCUGCCGCCUUGGGUGAAAAUGGCACUCCUAGUAUCCAGGACCCUGAGAAGAGCACACUUUCAGCUUCCUCUCUGAAGGGGAAGGAGAGAGAUUGCGAACAAGAGGAGGAAGCUGAGAUGAAGGCUGUAGCCACUUCACCUAGUGGCCGUUUCCUCAAGUUUGACAUAGAGCUUGGAAGAGGAGCGUUCAAAACGGUUUUUAAAGGUCUGGACACAGAAACCUGGGUGGAAGUCGCCUGGUGUGAACUACAGGAUCGGAAGCUAACCAAGGCAGAGCAGCAACGGUUUAAAGAGGAGGCUGAGAUGCUGAAGGGUCUACAGCACCCCAACAUUGUGCGUUUCUAUGACUCCUGGGAGUCUGUUCUUAGAGGCAAGAAGUGCAUUGUCCUAGUCACGGAGCUCAUGACCUCUGGAACACUCAAAACGUAUCUUAAACGCUUUAAGGUGAUGAAGCCCAAGGUUCUACGUAGCUGGUGCAGGCAAAUCCUUAAGGGGCUACAGUUCCUACAUACCCGUACGCCACCAAUUGUGCACCGUGACCUCAAGUGUGACAAUAUCUUCAUCACGGGCCCCACCGGCUCAGUAAAGAUUGGUGACUUGGGCCUUGCAACCCUCAUGCGGACAUCUUUUGCCAAGAGUGUUAUAGGGACUCCAGAGUUCAUGGCCCCAGAGAUGUAUGAGGAGCACUAUGAUGAGUCAGUGGAUGUUUAUGCAUUUGGAAUGUGCAUGCUGGAGAUGGCUACCUCAGAGUACCCAUAUUCAGAAUGCCAAAAUGCUGCACAGAUCUACCGCAAAGUCACAAGUGGCAUCAAACCUGCCAGUUUUGACAAAGUAAAUGACCCAGAGGUAAAAGAGAUCAUUGAGGGCUGUAUUCGCCAAAAUAGAUUAGAACGGCUCUCUGUCAAGGACCUUCUAAAUCAUGCCUUCUUUGCGGAGGAUACCGGUGUGCGUGUGGAGCUUGCAGAGGAAGAUACUGGCUCCAAAGACUGCCUGGCCCUACGCAUCUGGGUUGAGGAGCCUAAGAAACUCAAGGGCAAGCAUAAAGACAAUGAGGCCAUCGAGUUCAGCUACGACCUGGAGAAUGAUAGUGCCGAAGAGGUUGCUCUAGAGAUGGUGAAGUCUGGAUUUUUCCAUGAAAGUGAUGCUAAGGUAGUGGGGAAAUCCAUCAGAGACAGGGUGACUCUAAUUAAGAAAUCACGGGAAAGGCGGCAACAGCAGCUCCUCCAACAGCAGCAAAGUCUGGACGAGCAUCGUGACUCAACAGUCCUCACCUCCUCCUUUAACCCUGUCCAUCCCUCCUGCCCCUCCUCACUGGGUCCAGCUGUUGCUAUAGGUGCUGGGGGGCAGGGGGAGGCAGAAGAGCUGCCAGAAGUGAACAAACUUGUCCAACAGCAAGGCAAUGCAUUGAGUCUCAAAGAAGGUGAGAGCCUUUCUAUUGUCAGUGGGGAUCCUUUCUCAAGUGGGCAAAGCCAUGCUUUCUCUCUAGCUGAGUCCAAGAACCCAUGUGCUUGUGUUCAAACCAGCUACCCCUCUGGCACCUCUGGAGUGAAAGGUAUCGGGGUUGUGUCUCACCCCCAGCUGCUCCCUAUUGGUCAGAGUGGAGGGAUUCUAAAUGUGCCUGUUGGCCAGAAUGGUGGGAUAUCUGGCAUUUCCUUUGGCCAAAGUGCUGGUGGGGCUCCUAACAUUCCUCUGGCACAGACUUUCAUUCAGCCAGUCACCAUGACAUCACAGGUCCCAUUAAGUGUGCCUCAACAAUAUUCUCAGCCCAUCCCACCAUACACAACAGAUAUUACACCUUCUCAAAUAUUACACCCUCGGCCUAGUGAUACCUCCACUCCCCACAGUUCUCUUGUGCAUUCAGAGUCAUACACCUCCUCAGUAUCGCCCCAUGCUCCCUUAGCUGUCCACACUGACUCCAUCCCUGUUGGAGAGCCCAUAGCAUCAGCUGGCAACGUUAUGCCCCCCAUGCAGACCCAACCUAGUAAUGCUCCUGUACAACCCACUGAUGUUUUGCCCCAACAAACCAUUGUUCAGCCCAAACAUCAGGCAGUGUUAGAAUUGCCAGGAACAUUGCAACUAAACAUCCAGCAACAAACACCACAAAAGCAGGCAAAUAUAAUGCAGCAGCACCAGGUAGCGCUGUUACCACAGCAGAAAGACCAGGUUCAGCCAGCGACAGUUUUAUUACAACAUUCACAGCAUAUAGAACAGCCCCGCAUGAAUUUACAGGAACAACAGCCACAUUCAGGUUUAUCCCAGCAGCCAUAUAUUCCCUUGCCACAGCAGCAACAGCAAACAUUGUCCAUCUUGCACCAAAGUGAGUUACAACAGCAGGUGUACCUACAACAGCCCCAGCAACAAGUUGUGAAACAGCAGCAAGUUCAACAACCAAUGCAGCAAACGUCAGUACAACAACCCCCAGUGGAACAAUAUCAACAGACACAGCAACAGCAGGCACAGCCAAUUUAUUUGCCACAAAUGGCUGAAUCACAAGAGCAGAACAUGUUAAAGACAAUGGGACAACAGCCACAAAUGCUUCAAACAAUCCAGCAGCCAUUACAAUUGGCAGGGCAACAAAUGGAGCAGCAACAGAAGGCUGUUUUGCAAAAGCAUUUGGAGCAUCAAAGUCAACAGCAAGUUUACAUUCAAUCACCUCAGAAGCAACCACAAGUUGAGCAACAAAUUAUUUUGCAGCAACAGCAAAACAUGGCAGUGCAGCAGCAGAUGGAGCAACAACAGCAGGCUCUACAGCAACAGCAACAAAUAGAGCAGCAACAACAAACCAUUUUACAACAACAAGUGGAACAACAAAUACAACAUCAACAGGUUCUUUUUCAGCAACAUCAGCUGGAACAGCAGCAGGUUAUAUUGCAGCAGCAACAGCGUGAACAACAGCAGGCUCUUUUACAACAACAACAGUUAGAACAGCAAGCCUUGCUACAACAGCAGCAACAACUCCAGUUAAAGCAGCAACAAGCUCUUUUACAUCAGCAACAGUUAGAACAGAAACAGCAGGCUUUGCUUAAACAGCAGCAGCAACAGCAGUUAGAGCAACAGCAAACUGUUUUACAGCAACAACAGCAGCAAGCACUCAUUCAGCAGUUGCAACAGCAGCAAAACGUUGAACAGCAACAAGCUUUAUUACGACAGCAACAGCCUCAGCAGGCUUUACAGCAACAACCUCAACUACAGAAGCCAACAGAACAACUACAGAUGGAAAUAUUUCAACAACAGCCUGAUCAGCAUCAACAGGCAUUACUACAACAGAGAGAGUCGCAGUUGCAGCAACAAGUUCUAAUGCAACAACAGAUUGAGUUACAACAACAGGCACUACAAGCUGAGAAGCAACUACAAGUUUUAUUGCAGCAGCAACAACAACAACUACUUUUGGAGCAGAAUACAACUCUCACAGUUCAUAGUGGGCAACAGGAAACAACUAUAAAAGCAGAGACUAUACCACAAAUCAGUCAACUACAACACUCUCAGCAAAACAUUUCCCCACAACCUCAAUAUCAUUCAAGUCUUGCUCAACAACAAACAGAGCAGCAACAAGUCUUGAUUCAGAAGCAACAAGCUGUCCUCCCCCAGCCAUUGCAUAGAACUUCCCUGGUAGAUUUACAAUUUCCAACUAUGGUUCAAGCAGUUCCACAAAUGGUUACCACUCAAAUACCUAGUCAAGUUCCCACCCCAAUACUCAUUCAGCAACAGAGGCCACCUCACCAGUCAUCUCAACCUUCUUCGCAAAUGCAAAUCCAGAAUCAAGGGGAGUCAGCAAUUUGUGGUCAAAUUUCACUGCAGACGGAAAGUCUUUGUACAGCACAGUCAAUGGGAGAGAAUAUUCAAGCAAGCCAGUUGCAAGUUUCACAACCAACCCAACAAAUCACAUCACCAACACUGGCACAAGUUCCAACACCAAAUUCUAUUCACUCUUUUGUCCCAACUCAGAUUCAAAUAGUCUCAAAAGGGCAAAUCCUUCCUUCACAAACUCAAAUGGUACCAAUUCAAGCUGCAGCUUCUCUCCACUGUCAGGUUCCAGUUGUGUCACCUGCACCUCUAGUGCAUGUCCAAGGAAAGGCUGCAGCUACAUUUCUGCCCACACAAUAUGCCCAAGCACCUGUCGCUCAGCAAACCAUCCAGUCAGUUCAACUAGACCUCGCGCAAACUGUGAAACAACAACAGUCUCCUCUGCAGCAAUGUCAGCAAGCAUUGCUGUCUCCACUAUCACCUAUACCUUCCAUUGACCCAAUAGCUACUUCAUCAACUCAGUGCUACACACAACAGACCAACCAACCACAAAUGCACGCCCAGGCUAUGCCACAACCAAUCAUACCGGCUCUGCAACAGUCAGUCAGUGUGGCCUCUAUGCAGACAGUUUUGCAGCCGAUGCUUCCAGUGCAGCCUCAGGCUACCCAACAGAAUGAGCAGCAGCUGUCUACAGCCCAACAUGUGCAGCAGCAGAAACAAUUCCUCCACCAUCAGCAUCAAGCCCAACCUGUGCAACAGCAGCAACCCCUCAAUCAAUAUCAAGCCCAAACUGUGCAGCAGCUUCUGCCAUCAAAUGCUGUACCACCCCAAGAUCUGCAGCAACAGCCAUCUCAGCUCCAACAUAUUCUCCCUAUGCACAUUCUACCCAGUCAGAUACCUCAAACCCAAGCAAGGACAGGACACAUAGUCUCAGGUCCUCCCCCCUCCCCCCAAAACCAGCAAAAACCAACCCUUCCUGCUCAAACUCAUUCACAGACUAGCAUGCAACCACAAGCACACUUAAACAACCAGACACAUGUUCCAGUGCAUGCCCUCACAUACACACAGACCCACAUAGGAACUACUGGGAAUUUUGAGCAGCCUCCUUACUCCCAAGCUGCCUUUAUGCCUUCACAGAUCCCCCCAAGUCCAUCUCAUACUUCCCUACAACCCUCUGCCAUUCUUCCAACACAACAGCCAGCUGUCCCAGUUUCAGAAAUUCCUGUCUCAACACAUGCAAUGCCAGCUGACCUGAUCCCUGUCCCCCCUCCUACUGUCAAUUCCUCACAGUCCCAUGACACUUAUGGCUCUGUGUUGUCCACCACCUCGCUGGCAGACAGUGAUGCUGCAUUGUUGAGCAUUGCUCAGGAGAGCCUAAAUCAAUCUACCAACAAGAGUUCUUCUUCAGGCUCUGCUCCUACCAAUGGAGAUGAGUCUCAAAUGCUGUGGGCUAGUGGAAAACUGGAAAAGGUGAAAUCUCAGAGGAGAGCUUCCUGUCAGAAGACUGAAAAAACUCAUUUUCAACUCAGCAUGUUGCAGGUCUCGUGCACUGGGGACAACAUGGUAGAGUGUCAACUGGAAACUCACAGCAACAAAAUGGUCACAUUCAAAUUUGACAUUGAGGGAGAUGCACCUGAGGACAUUGCAGAUUACAUGGUGGAGGAGGAUUUUGUCCUUGAGCCUGAAAAAGAAAAUUUUGUUGAGGAGCUGAGGGCUAUAAUGAAGAAAGCUCAAGGAAUUCUAAUCACUCAGUCACAGGAGCAGCUCCAUGUAAGCACCCCAUCCAGUGCAUCAACGGAUGCAGCCCCUCAAUCUUCCCCGGUGGGUCGCUGGCGGUUUUUCAUCAACCAGACAAUUCGCCAUCGUGACUCACACUCCAACCAGGGAGCUUCCACUCCCCCUCCAGUGGGAGAGAGCAGAGUUCCCAAGUCCAUAGAAACCGAGAAAGACUAUGAAAUCCCUCAGCGAUCAGAGUCUUUUGCUGGAAUUGCAUCAUCUCCAAGUUCUUCACUGUCUGCAAACUCUCCUCCGGUCUCUACUGUAUCUGCCCCUGCAUCCAUGUCAACCUCGGCCAUUGCCGCCCACAAAGACAUCACACCCACUGCCAUGCAAAAAGUAGAACAAGUUUCCUCUGCUACUUUGAUCACAGACCCAAUCCCUGUCAUGUCCUCAAGCCCUUCUGCUCCUUAUUUCCCUGUGGUUGUGGCCGUUGUGGGCUCCAACAUGGCCUCAGGCGAUAAUGCUUUUAAAUUGCAGAGACAUUCUGAACAGCCUCUCUCUACCAUGUCAGGUUAUGGGUCCCCACCUGCAUCACUGGUUGGCCAUGCUGAUCCUUCGCAGCAGUUUUUUGCUCCAACCCAAAUGGCAACCUCACAGAAGCCUGAGAUACUUCAACAAACCCUGGCAACUCACCAGCUUCAAGACACCCAGACACUACAGUCAACAAUAGGUGCUACAGAACAGAUGCAGGCUCAGCAACAGCAGAUUACGCCUCCCCUGCAACCGCAUGUUCUAAAGGCAGGCUAUUUGGUCACUCCACUGCAACCACAACUACAAACAAUCCAAAGGCCAACUGAAUCAAAAACACAACCAAUGCCAAUGGAGACAGUGCCCCAACCUUUGCACGAAAGUCUUCCAGCAGUCCAGCAGCCACAGUUGCACCAAGUUCUGCCAGCUGUGCUACCGCAGGUCCCACACCAACAAAUACCAGUUCAAUCUCAACAACCACCAAUGCUGCAAACCACAUUUUUGGAGCAGCAUAGCCUCCAGAAAACAACCAAUCAUGAACAUGUUCCCAUAGACCGGUAUGUUUCUCAAGAAACAGUGCAGGCCCCAACAAUGCUGUCCAUGCAGCAACAGCAUGCCUUCCAAACCCAAGAUCCCCUACAGCUUCAAGCACAGUUUCAGCCUGUGAUCCCACAGCUGCUCCCCACUGAGCAGACCCAUGUCGUGCAGCCACAGACAUUACUUCAGCAGUUACCACAUGAUAUGCUGCACUCUCUACCAAUGGCACAAACCGAAGUGCCUCCAGCUGUGCAGAAGCAGGCAUCUCUCCAGCACUCUGAGUCGGAGCUGUCAAUGGGUGAGGCCAGCGUAGAGGACCCCAUCAGCCACUCUGCCCUGCCCCAACUCUCUUCAGACCCCUCUCUCCCACCUCUCCUUCUCUCUGAAACCGCUCUGCCAGCCCUCUCCCAAACAUUUACCACCUCUCCAGCCCAGCCCUCCUCAGUAGCAGAAUCAGACAGUGAAGGCCCCCCGAAAAUUGAGUUUGUCGACAACCGUAUUAAGACUUUGGAUGAGAAGCUUAGAACUCUGCUGUAUCAGGAGCACAGUGGCAGUGGGUCAACACUGGGAGGUGUCACCACUGGCGCCCCGACCUCUGCAUCUGCUGCAGUCUCCACCUCAGUGGGAGAUGACGAGUCUUCAGACCCUCACUAUGCAUUCUCCCCCCCUCCUGUCACCUCUUCAGACACUUCCCCUCUCUCCACUUCUUCUUCCUCCUCCUCCUCCACCACCCCGUGCUCUUCCUCAACUUCUUCAGAUGGAGAGGAGAGAGCAGGUGAGGAGGAGUUGUCCCAAUCUGCUGCUGUGCAACACCAGCCUGCCUCAUUGUCCUCUACAUCCCCACCAUGCUCUCUCGUCUUCCCCUCACUGGAGCCCAGAUCUCCGCCUUUGCCUGGUGAACCCUCAGUAAGCGCUGCCCCCUCCAUUUCAGAAACCUGCACCCAUGGAGACGUUCUGUUGCCUUCCACUUCUCAGCAUCCUGUCCCUCUGUGGCCUGGAAAGCAGCAGCACAAUGAAGGAGGUGGAUAUUUUGGCCUAAACCUGACAUGUCCUAGUAUCAGAAAUCCUGUUAGCAAGAAAUCCUGGACUCACAAAUUCAAAAGCUGGGCAUGCAAACUGCGCCACUCUGCCAGCUUGUUCACGAAGCCCAGAGUCCAGCAAGAUGGCAACUCCAACAGUCAGGGGAUAAAGGAGGAGACAGAGACAUCUACAAAUGUCCAGCCCUACUCACGCAGAGGACGUUUCCAGGUGAUUCCAGUGUCCCAGCCCAAAGAACCCCCUCCAGCACAAGUUGGUCAUUUCUCUGUCACUCAGGCUGAAAAGAGAGAGGAACAUCUAAUGGCCAGCUCCCCAGUUUCACCUGACCUGGACAGAGAGAGGAGGAGAUUGAAAGGGAAGAAUGGUGAGAAAGAGGAGAAGAGAACUACAGCACCCAGCCACCCACCCAGGGGUCACUCACCCCUGGGAAGCAGCGAUGAUGAGAGUGAGGUGGAGGAUGAAGAUUUAAGGAGAGAACUCCACAAGCUGAGAGAAAAACACAUUAAAGAGGUGGUAUACCUGCAGGCACAGCAGAACAAAGAGCUGCAGGAGUUGUACUGGCAGCUUCGCUCUUUUAAAGACCACAGGCAGCCUCUUCCACUGACCUUGCCUAGGACACCUCCUCUGCCCAACAGUCCCUUCGCCAUCUCCUCACGUAGACCCCGACCCUCUAAAGCCAAGCUCCGGCCCCGACCCCACUCUCACAUGGAUAACAAUGGAGUCAUACACCAAGGGAGUCUUCAGCAGUCCAGCAGUUAUUCUGGCGGGGAGCUAAGCAGACUCCACUCAAAUUGCAAGCCAGAGAAGACCUCUUCGCUGACUGCUAAUAGAGACCACAGUCCCUCAGCACAGAGUUCUGCCAUCAGAAAGAGCACGUUCACAGAUGAGCUGCACAAACUUGUUGAUGAGUGGUCAAAAGAAACUGUUUUUCCUGUUCAGCCCAAGCCUUCACUAAAUCAAAUCAAACAGAUCCAACAAGUGCAAGAGCUGGGCGGGUGGGGCCAACCUGCUGAGACAACUGCUUCAUCUGGAUGGUUUCCAACAGCUCCUAUGAACCCUCAGAGUGCUCCAUUAUCAGUCACCUUGUCUACAAUAGCUUCCACCCCCUUUAGCGCCAUCGGUGGACAAACACAGCCACCUCCAACACAGUUUCCUAUUGCUCCUGUACCCCAGCAGAAUGCACAUUUGCAGCCUGCCCUGCACCUGCAGCAGGUCCAGCUUCUGUCAGGAGCCGUGCCACAGUCCCAAACCCAAUUACAGCCCCCAGUCUCUGGCACGCCUCCACAGCUGCCUUCCCACACCAACUCCCCCUCUGUCAUGACCACAACAGGGCCUCCGCUGCCUCCUGCCACCAGCAUCACAGCUGCCUCUGCCCCCACCACAGCCAAUCAAGACACUGUCGCUACCACAAACUCCUGCUCAUGCUCCUCUUCUUCCUCGAAAUCCGCUCUGCCUUCCAGUGCCAAACUUCACGCCAAGCCCUCCACCUCCACCCUUCCCUUAGGACAGCAGUGAGAUGGGGACAAAUAUGCUUUGAUGGAGCGAGAAUGAGAGAUAGAAGAGAAGAGCACUUGAAUGGUCUUAUUCAGACAGAACAGACUCUAAUGAACAUCUUUUACAGGAAGGAAACUAGUAGCAAGCGGUUGAGUGUUUGUGUGCAUGGGUAUGGGGGUGUAAAAAUUACGUAGUGUGUUUUUGUGUGCGCGUGUGUUUGUGUUGCAUUUUCCAAUUCAUAUGCUCUGUGUAUUUCCGCACUGUCAAGUUUUAUAUCCAACUUAGUUGGACCUUAACUCUCCCUAUAUAGAGACAUGUUGGAAGAAGACCGUUUUGACAUGAAAUAUGAUGAUCAUUGUUUUUAUUUAUCAGUGCUUCAAAUGAAAGGACUAUUUGAAUUUAAGUGCAAUUAGUAACUGAUAUUUGAAUUCAUCUUUUCUGUGUUGUUUUGACGUGGAUCUGUAUAGUUUAUAAUAAAUAUUUUUUUAUAUGCGUACAGAAACAACAACCAGACAUUAGCCGCGAAGCGCCAUCUUAAAGACAAUGAGCACAACGGAUUCCACAGGCAGUGAGAUUAUAAGCAGUCGCAUCUACAGCAUGUUCCAGUGCAGAGCAUGGUAACAGUAACCUUGCAACCAUCAUCAUAGCUAAAACAAUCAAAACACUGUUGUACAGUGUUGUGCACUGAUAAGGCAUGCUCCUCAUGUAUUUUAUUUUACAAUGAUUAAUAACGGUAACAUUUACACUAGCAAAGAUUUUCUAGAAUAACAAAUAGCCAUGGACUAAUUUUACACUCCUGCAUUCUGCAGUUGAUUCUGAGAAAAACUCUUCAGUUCUUCAUUUAAUUUCAAAAGAGAUUAACCAAUAUGAUUGCAGUAUUUUCCUGUUUUAUCUGAAGUUAUACUUUUUAAGGUUUACAAUAUUAACAUUAAUCCCAUGGUGAAGAGUGCAAGACUAGACAGCUGUUUUGAAAGCUCACGUGAAGUGAACGCAGCUUGCUCUUGUUCAUGUGUAUUUUGCACAGCCCUGUAUGAACAUGCUUUUGUGCACGCCAAACUGUGAGUUUGCUUUUUGUGAACACGAUGCAUCAUCAAAACACUGGCAAAAAGAUUCUUGGAUUUGUUCAACAAUCCAAGAUUUCAUCAGAUGCUACUCUAAUGCAUGCUAAGAAAUCUAUAACUGCCAAGCAAAUUUAUUGGUAGAACAUCCACAAGUAGGUUGCCUUUUAGAGAGAGUGUAUUUUUUCUUAAGCUCUGUAUGUGAUUCUGUUUGACCAAGAUGCCAGUGCCCAGCCUUUAAUAAUCAGCAGCUAAUUCUGUCUUGCUGCCGUAUUUUACUCAUGUACAUAUGAGUUAAACCCCUUUGUUAUAAAGAACCCCAAAAGGGAUUUAAGUACUUUGUCAGACAUCAAGGAGCUCAAGACAACUUAGGCCUGUACUUCAAACAUCUAACUAGACUCUUCCAGGGUAUCAUUCAUAAACAAGUAAUGCCCAUAUUAAUAAAGAAUGACCGUGUGUGUUCUUGAAUGUUGCGUAAGUAAAAAAAGGUGAUCGAAGGUGUGAAUCAUGCACCCUGCCAUUCAGAUGGAUAAAGAAUGCUCUGCAUUUUUUAACAAUGUUGGUGAGAGAUCGACUGGGGGAAUGUAGUAUGUACUUCACAAGUUCACAGGGAAUAAAGAAUUGGGGGGGGGGGGAUUUGUGAAGCCUUUUAAUUGUGAUAAUGCUUGAACUUGUGGAUGUUUCAAAAAAAUAAUUCAACAUGGCCGCUGCCUGAAGAGGGUUGUGAUCAUUCAGUUUCCAGUAUUUUGGUCCAGCAUCCUCAGUAAGCAGUGGUACAUUUGUGGUGUGGAAAGACCGUGUCAAAAAAAAACAUUAUCAAUAUGAUCUCAACAAAUGGGAAAUGUAAAGAACCCUCUGCUGAAGUGUUACCAAAAUGUCAUCUAAAAGAAAGCAUUAUUUUUGUAUUUUGCAAGGUUUGUAAACAUGUAAAAUUGUGUACUGUAUUGAGAAAGCUGUGGUUAUCUGAUAACAAGACUUGUCCCAAAUUGUUUCUUGAUGGCCUCCAACUUUACCACAAACAUUUGGCCUGAGAUUGCAAGGAGAUUUUUUUAAGUUUAGAUCUUUAAUUUGAUGCGAGUGAUUGGGAAAAUUGUAAGCCAAAUCAUUGCUGCAGUGGGGUUUCGACUGGGUGAAGAUGUAUGGCAAACCAGAAGCACCCCAGAAUUACUUGACUGAGCACCAAUAAUAAAAGUAGGUCCUUGUGGUGGCAUGGUUACUCACUUCAAUCCGGGUUGCAGAAGACAAAUCUCAGUUGCCACCACUUCUGAGACAGCCAAUCCACGCAUCUUAUCACGUGGCUCGCUGUGCAUGACACCGCGCAGACUUGCAGCAUGUGGAGGCUCGUGCUACUCUCCAUGAUCCAUGCGGCCCAUUGAGAGCAAGAACUCUUAAUUGCGAACACGAUGAGCUUACCCCAUGUGACUCUACCCUCCCUAGCAAUUGGGCCAAUUUGGUUCCUUAGGAAACCUGGCUGGAGUCACUCAGCACA